AGGGCGGAAGAGGAUUUGGGGUUCAGCAUUGACCUCACCUAGCAAGAAACAAGUUAAGAUCCACAAAGAAAAUCCCAGUGCUCCAGCCAAAUGCGGUCAAAGAACCAAAGAACUGCACAGCAGAAAUUAGGUGGCCUUUCUGACUCAGUGUAUGAUCUCAUGGUGAACCCCUCCACACUGAUUUAAUGGUUAGAGGAAAAUGAGUGUAUUUUCUUCACCCCCCACCCCCCACAAGGAUAUGAGAAGGAGGGUGGGAAAGAACACAUGGAAACACUGAGAGACUCAGCAUCUCUGGGACAGAAGGGCUCAGAUCUGCACUAGGGGACGCGUGCAGAAGCAAGACACAGGCAGUCUGAGCCCACAACCAGCUCAGCAUCGCAGCUUUCUCGGUGGUCAGGGCUACAUCCACACAGGCAGCAGAGACUGCCAUAGGACUCUCAGAUGGAAGAUCCUCGAUGGGCAGGUGGAUGCACACAGAAGAACCAUUUCUCUCACAGUUCUCACCUCGUUGGGCUGGGGAUCAAACUGAGGCCCCAGCAAGUUGGAAGCAGGCACUUUCCCACAGCGGCGGCUCCAAGCGCCAGUCUCUAGUCAGGUGGCACUCUGACACAUCAAGGGAUGGACUGGACACAAUUAUUUGGCAUGCAAAUCAUUGACCUUUUGAAUAACUCAAAUAAAGCUCAAACUACUUCCUG
ensembl:processed_transcript 1700110K17Rik RIKEN cDNA 1700110K17 gene